GGAGGGUGCAAGCGUUAUCCGGAUUUAUUGGGUUUAAAGGGUCCGCAGGCGGACUAAUAAGUCAGUGGUGAAAUCUCUCGGCUCAACCGAGAAACUGCCAUUGAUACUGUUAGUCUAGAGUGUAGUUGGCGUAGGCGGAAUGUAUCAUGUAGCGGUGAAAUGCUUAGAUAUGAUACAGAACACCGAUCGCGAAGGCAGCUUACGAAACUACAACUGACGCUCAGGGACGAAAGCGUGGGGAGCGAACAGGAUUAGAUACCCUGGUAGUCCACGCCGUAAACGAUGAUUACUCGUUGUCGGCAAUAUACAGUCGGUGGCUAAGCGAAAGCGAUAAGUAAUCCACCUGGGGAGUACGAUCGCAAGGUUGAAACUCAAAGGAAUUGACGGGGGCCCGCACAAGCGGAGGAGCAUGUGGUUUAAUUCGAUGAUACGCGAGGAACCUUACCUGGGCUUAAAUGCUUAAUGACUUACUGGGAAACCGGUAUUUCUUCGGACAUUUUGCAAGGUGCUGCAUGGUUGUCGUCAGCUCGUGCCGUGAGGUGUCGGGUUAAGUCCCAUAACGAGCGCAACCCCUAUUGUUAGUUGCCAUCAGGUAAUGCUGGGGACUCUAACAAAACUGCCCGCGUAAGCGUGGAGGAAGGUGGGGAUGACGUCAAAUCAGCACGGCCCUUACGUCCAGGGCUACACACGUGCUACAAUGGCCGAUACAGAGGGCAGCCACUUGGUGACAAGGAGCAAAUCUCAAAAGUCGGUCUCAGUUCGGAUCGGAGUCUGCAACUCGACUCCGUGAAGUUGGAUUCGCUAGUAAUCGUAGAUCAGCAACGCUACGGUGAAUACGUUCCCGGGCCUU
rnacentral:rRNA from 1 species